GACGAACGCUGGCGGCGUGCUUAACACAUGCAAGUCGAACGGAAAGGUCCUGCUUUUGUGGGGUGCUCGAGUGGCGAACGGGUGAGUAACACGUGAGUAACCUGCCCUUGACUUUGGGAUAACUUCAGGAAACUGGGGCUAAUACCGGAUAGGAGCUCCUGCUGCAUGGUGGGGGUUGGAAAGUUUCGGCGGUUGUGGAUGGACUCGCGGCUUAUCAGCUUGUUGGUGGGGUAGUGGCUUACCAAGGCUUUGACGGGUAGCCGGCCUGAGAGGGUGACCGGCCACAUUGGGACUGAGAUACGGCCCAGACUCCUACGGGAGGCAGCAGUGGGGAAUAUUGCACAAUGGGCGGAAGCCUGAUGCAGCAACGCCGCGUGCGGGAUGACGGCCUUCGGGCUGUAAACCGCUUUCGCCUGUGACGAAGCGUGAGUGACGGUAAUGGGUAAAGAAGCACCGGCUAACUACGUG
rnacentral:rRNA from 1 species